UACGGGGGGAGCAAGCGUUGUUCGGAUUUACUGGGCGUAAAGGGCGCGUAGGCGGCCACCGCAAGUCAAUUGUGAAAUCUCCGGGCUUAACUCGGAAAGGUCAACUGAUACUGCGGGGCUAGAGUGCGGAAGGGGCAACUGGAAUUCUCGGUGUAGCGGUGAAAUGCGUAGAUAUCGAGAGGAACACCUGCGGCGAAGGCGGGUUGCUGGGCCGACACUGACGCUGAGGCGCGAAAGCCAGGGGAGCGAACGGGG
rnacentral:rRNA from 1 species